GAGAGUUAAACAGUACGUGAAAUUGUUGAAAGGGAAACGAUUGAAGCCAGUCGUACCUUCGGGUAAUCAGCCUUUCGGGUGCGAUUCUGUGGAGUGUGAGGAGCUUAAACACCUUCAUGUUUUGCAUAUUCGUGCACAUUUGGUGUACUUGUCCGUGUGGUGGGUUAACAUCAAUUUCGGUCGUCAUAAAAUGAUUGGAGGAAUGUAGCUUUGGUCUCGUAUCGAAGUGUUAUAGACUCUGGUAGAUGUGACGAUUGGGAUUGAGGAUUGCAACGGAUACCCUUCGGGGCUACUCGUCUGAUCUCUGAAGGUUGCUCCGGUACCGAAAGCGUGCUUACGGUCAUCGAAAGUGAUUUUCAAAAGGUUAGAACGGGUUAAAUUCGUUAAGGAUGUUGACGUAAUGGCUUUAAACGA
rnacentral:rRNA from 1 species